ACGGGAUGAGGGAGCAGGGUGGGGAAGGAAAGUAUGAGCCAAGGCGUUGGUGCCUCCUCCUCCUCCUCCUCCUCGUGCACCUGAACCCGCGUCCUCCUGGUAAUGACAGACUCCGUGGCGAGGACCUGACAUAGAUGCCACGGAAAACAGUCAUUUUCCUGCCGGCAUGUGUGCGUCCCACUCCCCCCAGCCCCUCUCCCCUGCAGCAAACCUGCGCCCGGCUGCGAUCGGCAGCUCCUUUUUUUUACAAUAGCCAUUACCAAGAUACCUGCUCGGCUCUCCCAAGUAUUUUGCAGUAUCCACACACUGUGUCUAACAAAGGCUGCUCCUCUGCUAUACACGGACUGAGACCUCAUCUUUCCUGGCUCCUGCACUGCAUGAUGGUAGGAGGAGGGGACGGGCUGACUGGAGAAGAAAACACCAUCUUCAACAGAUUAGAAAGUCAUUUUUCUCCUCCUAGGUCAAUACCGAGGCGUUACGUUUACCUGGUCUGGUUAGAGCAGAUACUGUGGUGUGAGAUGGAGAAGUCAGAUGGGGGGGUGUGUGGAGUUAUGCAGAAACAUGAGAUUACUGAGAGGCAGUGAUUGUGUGAAGGCUGCCUGCGUGACCUCGACAGCGAAAGGCGGGCAGCUAUACGGUAUUUACAUUUGUCCGCUGUGAUUUCAGUCCUCCAGCUAAAACACCGGACAAUAAUAUGGCAAAACAAAAACAGGAGGAAGUCCUUGAAUAGCAGCAACAGAUAUCCCAGCGCACAACCACCGGGUGAGUCGCCAGUCUUUGAGGAGCAGGUGGCACAGACUGGCAAUUGGGAGAUGGAAAAGCUGGUACAGUCGUAAGGGCAAUCCUUCCCGGGGGCUCAGCUUGUGAGUGAAGACUCAGCAAUGCCAGCCAGAGCCUGGGCAGGAGGUGGGAACAUUCAACCGAGCCACUUUCCUAUGCAGAAAGUGAUUAAAUAGGUGAUACAGUACACAUAUAGCAUAUAUAGAGUAGACAUACAGCAUACAGCCUUUCACCUUGAGAAAAAACAUCUUUUAAAUGCCUUUGUCCCAGCGGGGCGUGAUCUGCCCAAAACUUUUUAAAUCUUUUCCACCAUGCUCUGGACAUGAUGCAGUAGACAAAACCCCAGGUAGUGAGGAUGGAUCGAUCCUGCUCAAGUGAUCAUCAUUGAUCACGGAGAGCAGAAAUCCCUGGCUGCACUGGUGGCCGGGAGGACCCAUAAGCUCCCCCCAACCAGGGGAAAGCUGCUGAGCAAGGAGGGAUUUGCAAGGGCACAUCCUUCCAAUCUGGAACUCGCACCGGGCAGUUACUGACCGUGUUUUCCUGCCCUCGAAACUCUUCACUCAAAAGUCAAACAGGAUUUACUAUUUUUUUUUCUUUUUUUUUUUUUUUUCUUUUUCUUACUAUGAAAAGUUUUUCAGGACAGGAAAACCGUUUCCUGUCCAGACCAGACACUGACUUCCUGCACGCUCUCCGGCAGAUCGUGUAAUCCUACCGCCCCUAUUUGUAAAAUGAAGAUGAUCGACUGCCUUUGUCUCCUCUACUUACCCGUACAGGCUGGAGUCCUUAAUACACGCAUGUGACCAGGCAUAACUCUGCCCUGAUCUCACACAGCACUGCGGUAAUACUCAUAAAUAAUGACCGAGUUACGAAAGUAGGAUUUACAGUAAUGCGUCAGAGCGGAGAAUGACAAAAUUGCCUGGGUUUACUCUUGAUUUACAUGAGAAUAAACAAGGCCAGACUUUUGCCCUAAUUCUGCA
rnacentral:lncRNA from 1 species